CCCAGCAUGGGGAGCCCCAGCGCCCCGACCCCUCGGGAUACGGGCUGCGCCGGGCCUUGGCUGAGCGUCCCCGGAAGGAUCAGCGGCCGCCCCUCCCUCACCACAGGGGAGCUGCUUUUGGCUGUUGGAUGGACAAUCCUCCCACUGCAAUCUCAAGUCCAAACAAAGAUGGGCUCAGGACAUCAUCCAUGUGGCAUCCCCCUCUUGAAAUGCCCAUUUCCACUUCCUCCUCUGCAUGAACGGUGGUUGCCCUCAGACCCGUGCAGGGCUUGGUAG
rnacentral:lncRNA from 1 species